UAAUUCAUAUGUACACGCAUUGGGCAUUGGUACAUUAAUGCGAUCAUCAUUCAUCUUCAUGAUGAAAUAAGAAGGGUCGUUUUUCUACAGAUGGCCAUCAGAAUUCUUUAAGUAUUUGCAUCUGUCUAAGAGGAACUUCUGCAGCCCUUUUGGAUUGGUGGAGCGAUAGUUGGUCCCGCACGCAAUGUAACUUACGGUCGCUUUACACGCUGAUUCUGAUUCGCGUAGAGCUUUAAUAUAUGUGAGGCAUCAUGCUUUGUUCACACGUGGAAUCAUUUUUCUUGGGUCUGUGACUUGGCAACAUGAAGCAACUGGCGUUCAAAGAAAUUAAACAAAUAAAAAAUCCAAAUAAAUUCAAUAUAUUCUCA